rnacentral:lncRNA from 1 species
GACUCGGACAUCUCUUGAACUGAAUUUUAAUGUGCGUAUUGUUAUGCGUUUACUUUUCUACAUUGGCUAGAGGUAUAGGGGGCGGGUUGAGAUCUCACAAACAUGUUUAACCCCGCCGCAUUUUUGCGCCUGUCCCAAGUCAGGAGCCUCUGGCCUUUGUUAGUCUUGUAUUAUUUUAAUUUUAGUUUCUUGUGUACAAUUUGGAAAUUAGUAUGGCGUUCAUUAUCACUGAACUAGUAUAUAUUUGUUUAGGGGCCAGUUGAAGGACGCCUCCGGGUGCGGGAGUUUCUCGCUGCAUUGAAGACCUGUUGGUGACCUUCUGCUGUUGUUUUUUUCUAUGGUCGGGUUGUUGUCUCUUUGGCGCAUUCCCCAUUUCC